UACGAAGGGUGCAAGCGUUACUCGGAAUUACUGGGCGUAAAGCGUGCGUAGGUGGUUCGUUAAGUCUGAUGUGAAAGCCCUAGGCUCAACCUGGGAAUGGCAUUGGAUACUGGCGACCUAGAGUGCGGUAGAGGGGUGUGGAAUUCCCGGUGUAGCAGUGAAAUGCGUAGAUAUCGGGAGGAACAUCUGUGGCGAAGGCGACACCCUGGACCAGCACUGACACUGAGGCACGAAAGCGUGGGGAGCAAACAGG
rnacentral:rRNA from 1 species